rnacentral:Y_RNA from 1 species
GGCUGAUCAGAGUACAGUGGUGUUUACAAUUGAUCACAACCAGAUACAGAUUUCCUUGUUGCUUCUCCACCCCCACCAUUUCACUUGACUAGCCUUUG